rnacentral:rRNA from 1 species
AUUGAACGCUGGCGGCAUGCCUUACACAUGCAAGUCGAACGGCAGCAUGAUCUAGCUUGCUAGAUUGAUGGCGAGUGGCGAACGGGUGAGUAAUACAUCGGAACGUGCCCUGUAGUGGGGGAUAACUAGUCGAAAGAUUAGCUAAUACCGCAUACGACCUGAGGGUGAAAGUGGGGGACCGCAAGGCCUCAUGCUAUAGGAGCGGCCGAUGUCUGAUUAGCUAGUUGGUGAGGUAAAGGCUCACCAAGGCGACGAUCAGUAGCCGGUCUGAGAGGACGAUCAGCCACACUGGGACUGAGACACGGCCCAGACUCCUACGGGAGGCAGCAGUGGGGAAUUUUGGACAAUGGGCGAAAGCCUGAUCCAGCAAUGCCGCGUGUGUGAAGAAGGCCUUCGGGUUGUAAAGCACUUUUGUCCGGAAAGAAAUGGCUCUGGUUAAUACCUGGGGUCGAUGACGGUACCGGAAGAAUAAGGACCGGCUAACUACGUG